ensembl:lncRNA
CUGAUUUACAUUUAAAUUACAAAUUACGUUUUGCUGGCAUUAAUUUACAAUGCUGCUUAAAAAAAAAAUACAUAUUCCACUGUACAUGAAUAAUAAUUCUGAGCAGUCAGAUCUUGCUGGAUUGCUAUGAUAUCUUGGCAGUGGGUGCUGCAUACUAAUAUUCCUAGGAAGUUUUCUCCCUGUGAGCGUGGUGUUUCUCCAUGCACAAGCCUUGCACAUUGUCAUGCAGCCAGCCAGCCGCCGUGCAGCCCGUUGCCAUAGGAUCUGCAGAACGAUCUGCCUGCACAUGCAUUUUUAGGAGACUGCAGCAUAGCUGCAUGAAAAAAAGGCUCUGAAACAUGUACGCUCAUUCCAGGGCCAGAACAAGGAGCUUUCUAUGAAUCACUGCAGCCUGUGAGCGUGCUAAAUGCCAAGAACUGAGUGGGAUCUGUUCAUGCCAGUAUGUGGCUGGGAGUUUUUCGAGGAACAGCAGGAAGGCUGGUGCAGCCCGGUGCACGGUCAGCUCUGCUCGCACCUCUCUGUGUUCAAUUCACCCGAUGCUGCUCUGUACUGCCCCGAUCACGUUGCAGGCUGCAGGUCAGCUCCCAUUACUUCAUCCUUGGGCUGUGUCUUUGGCUCGUGCGUGGCACCUGGGAUGUGGAGUAGCUGGGGCCGGUGGGAACCAGAGCAAGGCCGGUGUGCGGUGCUGUGUUCAGGUUGAGAAAACGUCAGUCUUGACAUUCAGAACCAUCCUCCGUACAAAAUCCACGCUCUUCUGCAAGAAGAAAGGCUGUCUGUGAAAACAAAGCACAGAAUAAAGCAGAGCCACAGUCACCCUCACUUACUCACAAGAAGCAGUGCUGAUAAAUGACUAAUAGGAGUGACUGUUCAUAAAGCUGGAUUCAUCCUUAAUUUCCUCUCUCAGAAACUUUUCAGGUUCGUGAGCAACAUCAUUUCAGCUUUACUUUCCCAGGAAGCUCCUUUCUGAUGGGAAAAGAGUUGCCUUGUAAACGUUAUAACAAAUUCACCGGGACCACAUCACAAUCCGCUCAUUUCCUCUCGGCUCCCUGAGACACAACUUGCUGCAGAAAGGAUUCAUUUGUAGUGUGUGCUUGAAACACUACAAGGAAAAUGCUCAGAACAGAGGACCUGCCUACUCUUCAAAUCCUUUUCCUUCCCAUCAGAAGUGAGGGAGAAAAGUGAGUGUCAGCAGCUUCACGGGGAUAAACCAACAGCACAUCUUGGACACAGCUAGCCAAGAAAGCAGCCCCAGAAAGGAGCACACAGAAGGAUCUCCUGGGAUUCAAGCAUACGAAGAAUAGCUGCUUGGCUUCACAUGGCACCAAGGAUUGCUCAAUGCCAUACUCUCAUAGGACCAGAAAAAAUCAAGACCUGCCCUUAUUUUGGAUGCUGGAGAGACUGAAGUACAACAUUGCUGCAGAGGUGGGAAAGGCAUUUGGGCUUGUACGCCUCUUCUUGGGCACAUUGCAUUGGGCCACUGAGCAUGGGACCCCCGUACCAUCUGUGACUCCCACCAACCCUGUGUGACACUUGCACAUAAUCAGCACCCCACUACAAACAUCGAGCCAUCCAUUUUCGCCCCAAAAGAGGCAUGUCCUUUGCUGUAACCCACGCUGCCAUCCAUGUAACGGUGAACACACAGAGCCCUGGUGCUGCAUUAUUCCACAGUAAGCUAAACAGUUAGAACUAAAAUAACUUUUGUGCUCUUAAUGCAGCAUUCGUGCCCUUAUUUAUUAUUAACCUGCACUCCAAUUCCCAACGCACCUGGCACAAAGUGAGUAGGAGUCGGUAGGAACCUACAGCCAACACUUGUGCUUACUGUUCCCACAAGAGGGGAAAUGUCCCAGCCAUUCUAUUGAAUUAUAAAUUGUUCUUGUUAUUCUUGCUGAGCUGGAAUAAUGCGGUGGAAGGACAAAGGAAUGCAGUAGAAAACACAGAUCUGUUAGCUUGCUGUGGUAGGAGAGCUUCUUCACUAUCUUCUUGCAUCAUAUUUAGAUGUCUGGACCACAGGUCAGCAUCAGCAGUGAUAGGGCAUGGCACACAGGGAGGAGAGCUGAGGUGACCACGCUUGUUUUGCUUGCCGUGGCCAUGGGCUGCUGUGCCCUACCUCCUGGCCAGGCUGUUCUCAUAGGAGUGCUCUGGAAUAUGAUUUCUUUAGGGAACACAUUCUAUUUCCCAUAAGAGAUUUAGCCCUCGUGAAGUGUGAUGCUCACCCAGGUUGCUCUAUAAAUAAUUGUUGCCUCACUGGCUGGUUAUGCUACUCACAGCCCUGUUUUAUCACUGGAUAAAGCUGAUGGAGAAGUUGGCCCUAUUUCUAUCUGUUCUGCAUUGCCUAUGAAAAACACGUUGUUUAGUCCCUGCUCCGCCUUCUGAGGAGUUCUUCACAGAAAGAGACAUUCUGUGAAUGGGGUUGUUCUCGUAAUGGAGAGGAGCAGGGGCUGCCUGGUGUUUCUGCAGGGAUAUGCAAAAAAGGAUGGCACGGAAACCACCUGCUGCCAAAAUGUGCUCAUGCUGUGCCUCAGCAGAACAAGGCCUCAAGCACACAGUGCCUAACCUUGCCUCCGGCCCCAGCACUUUGCAGACAUUUCUGUAGGUAAUGUCUCUUGUCGUGUCACUAGGGGUAUUCAGAAACACUUUGAUAUGGCCUAACCUGUCAUUAUCCUCCUAGGGCAGAGUACAGGAAAUGAAAAUGUCAAUUACCCACUAUUUAAUUACACUGCCUAUUAGUUAAGCUUUUCUUUUUUUCUUUUCUUCUUCUUUUCCCAUGCACAAAAAUUCUUCACCCUAAAUGAAUCCCUGCUCCAAACCUCUAUGGAAACAUGUAGGUGGCCGACAGCUCAAUGGGCUGCAGUCGCAUGUCCUGACAUCCACGACUGGCCCCAGCAAGCAACCCCAAGCUGCACUGCCUGCUCCCCAGCAAUGCCAAGCUCCUUCCUGCCUGGACACCUCCAUGUCCCUCCACCCCCAAGGGUGCUUUCCAUAUCUCCUCCACCCCAGAGCACGUGGCUCAGUGAGCAGAGGGAGGAGCUGGGGAGGCAUCAGGUGGUUUUUUGCACACAGGAGGUCUGGAAUCCCAACCCUGAAUGUUUUUGUGAUCAAACAGCAAGUUUCACAGCUGCUUCUUUAGGUGUUCAUAAGCAGUAAGAUUGACAUCUCCUGAUUUCAGGUGCUGAAAGCAGAAAUAUUCAUUGGAAUACUUUGGGAGAAAAACGUCAGCUAUUUAUUAUGAAUAUAAACUAACACGUGGGCACUGUGGAUUGUUAGGGGCUUUGGGUUUGCUCCCACAUGGAGCAGGGAGGUUAAUGUGUAUUGGACAAAACCGUGGUAUACUGAAAUAAUGCACUGUUGGCCAAAACAGGCACGGCGAAUGCAGCCUGCUGUGCUGAAAACUGGGAAAGUCCCAGCGCUGCUCUCCUAGAGAGGCUCUCAGAGAAUCCAGUUUUGCUCUCCCAUCUGUGGGCUUGACUAUGCAAGCUCUCCUUCUGAAAGGACCGUUUAUGAAGACAGGCAACAGAACUGUGCUUUUCAUUUAGACGACGACAAGGCGUCCUCCACAUUAUAGGGGAAAUGUCAUUUGCAGCCCCAUGAAAGUAUCUCUGUGUAACCCUCAGAGCAAAAGCAAUUAAGAGCAACGCUUACAUCCCUUAAGAUAAAGUCUCAAUAGACCUUCUUUGCUAAUAAAACCUCUACAACAAAAUGGAUUUGAAAGGAACAUCCUGUUAAACACUGUAAUGUCGCUGGAUGAAGGAAUGCUGCUUUUUUUUCCCCUUUACGUUUCCCCUUGUGUCACACUCAGCAUUUCUCAAUAAUUCAAAAUGUAAUUAAAAUUCAGAGUCCUGAGGAUGGGAUGGAGCAUUUAUGAUUAGUUAUUGUGAAAACAGGCAUGGAAAAGUCUCAUGACUUGUUCUUAAUAAUCCGACUCCCACUUCCUCACGGUGCUGCAAUACUUAAUCGGUGACACCGGUGUGAUGGUAUCUGCAAGGUGCUAUCAGUGCUGUGACAGCAGCGAGCAGAUAGUGAGCAGUGCAGGGAGGAGGCCCGGCGCAAUGCCCAGCCUCACGGCUGAAAUCGCCAGCAAAGCAAAAUAAAUUGCUUGUGCUUAGCAGGAACAACACCCUGAGCUCACCCUCAAAGCUGAGAAUUUCCUGCUCGCUGGCCAAAUUAGUGGCUCUGACUCAGCAGCGUGCUCUGAGCAACAGGAAGGAGCAGAGGGGAAGAGGUCGGGAAGGAGGGCCUGGCUUACCCACCCACCUGCCUGCCUCACUCAAGGCAUCUGAGCAUGGAUGGAAGGAUCCUAUGGGAUUCUUCACGUGGUGGGCACCACUGCCAGCCAUAGGAAGAGGAGACACGGGAGCUCAGCACGGGUUUGUCUCCUCCCUGCUGGCAUGCAAAGCCUCCUCACAAAGACACAUGGACAGAUGGCACCUGAGGCAUCAAGAUCCCUCACACCUGUUUGUAUUUGUCCAAGGAACCCAACAACUGCACUGCUGGUGGCAUCCGCUUGUCUUGAAGGGAGCAUAGCAACUGGAAUGGGAAUGGCUGUUUAUGAGGGUGGAUAGUGACAGGACAAGGGGGAAUGGUUUUAAACUGAGACAGGGGAGGUUUAAGUUGGAUAUGAGGAAGUUUUUCACCCAGAGGGUGGUGCCACACUGGAACAGGUUGCCCAAGGAGGUUGUGGAUGCCCCAUCCCUGGAGGCAUUCAAGGCCAGGCUGGAUGUGACUCUGGGCAGCCUGGUCUGGUGGUUGGCGACCCUGCACAUAGCAGGGGGGUUGAAACUCAGUGAUCAUUGUGGUCCUUUUCAACCCAGGCCAUUCUAUGAUUCUAUGAUCCACAGACCGCCAUCAGGUCUACCUGUACUGAUUCUGGCAAGCCUCUCCUGCAGACGAGUAGGGCUGAAGCCACCCUGCAGCCCCCCAGCUGGGCAUUUCCCUUGGGUCCUCACUUAUGGAAUGACUCACAAAAAAUAAACAGGGAGGGGAAUUAAGUGCCCUCAGUGUUAAUGUGCUUGAGAGAGUAAUGCAGAGUGAGGGACCCAUCCAUGCAGCUUGAGCACGCUCAUGCCCACGAUACCUAGCAGAAAUGAGGCCAUCCAUACAGGCACAUGGCAGCCCCUGCAUCAGCAUGUUAUGAGGAUGGACAUGCUAACAAGGCAGCCCCAGCUUUUGC